ensembl:lncRNA
GUAGUAGACCUCACAGUGAAAUGCUGAAUACAACAGGUGUAGUAGACCUCACAGUGAAAUGCUGAAUACAACAGGUGUAGUAGACCUCACAGUGAAAUGCUGAAUACAACAGGUGUAGUAGACCUCACAGUGAAAUGCUUACUUACAGGCUCUAACCAACAGUGCGAGAAAAAAAAGGUGUGUGUGUUUGUAGGUAAGUAAAGAAAUAAAAACAACUGGACAUUUGUAGCUGAAGUUUUGUAUUCAAGGGUUUGGAGCACCUAUCCACUUUCAGAUUUGUAAAUAUGUCUAUAAUUUUCUCUCAUGAGUUUUGUGCUUGUCUAAUGACUUUGUAUUUUGUAGCUGUUUCUCAGCAGUUUGUCAUUUUGUUACAGUGUUCGUGUCCAAAUUUGCUCUUGACAAUCUACAAGGUUAUGCAGGUGAACAGCCCUACGGUGGUGGUAUGGUUAUGGAAUGGGCAGGCAUACACUACACAAUUACAUUUUAUCGAUGGCAAUUUGAAUUCCACAGAGAUACCGUGACGAGAUCCUGAGGCCCGUUGUCACGCCAUUCAUCCGCCGCCAUCACCUCAUGUUUCGGCAUGAUAAUGCACGGUCCCAUGUCGCAAGGAUCUGGACACAACUCCUGGAAGCUGUUCCGGGUCCAUGGCCUGCAUUACUUACCAGACAUAUCACCCAUUGAGCAUGUUUGGGAUGCUCUGGAUCGAUGUGUACGCCAGUGUGUUCCAGUUUCCAGCCAAUAUCCAGCAACUUCAACCACAGCCAUUUGAAGAGGAGUGGGACAACAUUCCACAGGCCACAAUCAACAGCCUGAUCAACUCUAUGUGAAGGAGAUGUGUUGUGCUGCACGAGGCAAAUGGUGGUCACACCAGACACUGACUGGUUUUCUGAUCCACGCCCCUACCUUUACAAAAUAAUAAUAAAUGUAUUCCCAGUCACGUGAAAUCCAUAGAUUGAUUGGCCAAAUUUAUGUAUUUCAAUUGACUGAUUUCCUUAUAUGAACUAUAACUCAGUAAAAUCUUAGAAAAUUGUUACAUAACACAUUUAUAUUGAUAUU